GACGAACGCUGGCGGCGUGCCUAAUACAUGCAAGUAGAACGCACAGAAUGCACCGUAGUUUACUACACCGUAUUCUGUGAGUUGCGAACGGGUGAGUAACGCGUAGGUAACCUGCCUGGUAGCGGGGGAUAACUAUUGGAAACGACAGCUAAUACCGCAUAAGAACAUUUACCGCAUGGUAGAUGUUUAAAAGGUGCAAAUGCAUCACUACCAGAUGGACCUGCGUUGUAUUAGCUAGUAGGUGAGGUAACGGCUCACCUAGGCGACGAUACAUAGCCGACCUGAGAGGGUGAUCGGCCACACUGGGACUGAGACACGGCCCAGACUCCUACGGGAGGCAGCAGUAGGGAAUCUUCGGCAAUGGGGGGAACCCUGACCGAGCAACGCCGCGUGAGUGAAGAAGGUUUUCGGAUCGUAAAGCUCUGUUGUUAAGGAAGAACGAGUGUGAGAAUGGAAAGUUCAUAC
rnacentral:rRNA from 1 species